UAAUUGAACCACAAACUGCUUUUAGCAUGUCUCAUGCAUCAUGGUUAUGCCAUAGGUUGAUUGCAUUAGUAUUCACGAAUCUGUUGCAUUGCAUCGUUAUUUGGUGAUGUGAGUGAAUGCUGAAUGAUCCAAUAGUCUCAGACAGGAAGUCCAGGAGCCUUUGACUACGCCCUGGCAGGUAUAGCGAAGUCCAGGAGCCUUUGACUACGCCCUGGCAGGUAUAACAAAGUCCAGGAGCCUUUGACUACGCCCUGGCAAUGGUAAGUACAGAGGUGUUAUAUACACAUAUACAUAUAUGACAGGAAGA
rnacentral:lncRNA from 1 species